GAUGAACGCUGGCGGCGUGCCUAAUACAUGCAAGUCGAGCGAACAGACGUGGAGCUUGUUCCUCUGACGUUAGCGGCGGACGGGUGAGUAACACGUGGAUAACCUACCUAUAAGACUGGGAUAACUUCGGGAAACCGGAGCUAAUACCGGAUAAUAUAUUGAACCGCAUGGUUCAAUAGUGAAAGACGGUUUUGCUGUCACUUAUAGAUGGAUCCGCGCCGCAUUAGCUAGUUGGUAAGGUAACGGUUUACUAAGGCAACGAUGCGUAGCCGACCUGAGAGGGUGAUCGGCCACACUGGAACUGAGACACGGUCCAGACUCCUACGGGAGGCAGCAGUAGGGGAUCUUCCGCAAUGGGCAAAAGCUUGACGGAGCAGCGCCGCGGGAGUGAUGAAGGUCUUCGGAUCGUAAAACUCUGUUAUUAGGGAAGAACAAAUGUGUAAGUAACUAUGCGCGUCGUGACGGUACCUGAUCAGGAAGCCACGGCUAACUACGUG
rnacentral:rRNA from 1 species